AAAGAAAACAGUUCAGCACUAAGUCACUUUGUCUAUAUGGCAAAUGUGAGAUGCAGUGUAUGGAGCGUCAAUAUUCUAGUAUGAGAAAUUAACGAUUUAAGUCCUUCUUAAAUGAGGCCAUUUACCCACAGAGGGUGCCAGGCCCGUAUAACGUUAAUGAUUACUAGAUGAUGUUUCCAAAGAGUCGUGUUGCUUGAUAGUGCAGCACUAAGUGGGUGGUAAACUCCAUCUAAAACUAAAUAUAACCAUGAGACCGAUAGUAAACAAGUACCGUGAGGGAAAGUUGAAAAGAACUCUGAAUAGAGAGUUAAACAGUACGUGAAACUGCUUAGAGGUUAAGCCCGAUGAACCUGAAUAUCCGUUAUGGAAAAUUCAUCAUUAAAAUUGUAAUAUUUAAAUAAUAUUAUAAGGAUAGUGUGCAUUUUUUCCAUAUAAGGACAUUGUAAUCUAUUAGCAUAUCCCAAAUUUAUCAUAAAAUAUAACUUAUAGUUUAUUCAAAUUAAAGUGCUUGCAUUUUAAAACAGAAUAAAUGUUAUUAAUUUGAUAAAGUGCUGAUAGAUUUAUAUGAUUACAGUGCGUUAAUUUUUCGGAAUUAUAUAAUGGCAUAAUUAUCAUUGAUUUUUAUGUUUAUUAUAUGCACUUGUAUGAUUAA
rnacentral:rRNA from 1 species